ACUGGACAAUGAUGAACCUUUUUUAUCUGGAGACUGUUGAAUGAAUCUUGCGGAUAUGGGACUGAGUCCAGAC